UACGUAGGGUGCAAGCGUUGUCCGGAAUUAUUGGGCGUAAAGAGCUCGUAGGCGGUCUGUUGCGUCGGCUGUGAAAACCCGGGGCUCAACUCCGGGCCUGCAGCCGAUACGGGCAGACUAGAGUUCGGCAGGGGAGACUGGAAUUCCUGGUGUAGCGGUGAAAUGCGCAGAUAUCGGGAAGAACACCCGUGGCGAAGGCGGUUCUCUGGGACGGUACUGACGCUGAGACGCGAAAGCGUGGGGAGCGAACAGG
rnacentral:rRNA from 1 species